rnacentral:rRNA from 1 species
AGCAGCCGCGGUAAUUCCAGCUCCAAUAGCGUAUAUUAAAGUUGUUGCAGUUAAAAAGCUCGUAGUUGAAUUUCGGGAUCAAUACGUCGGUCGUGCCUUCGGUACGUACUGGCGUCAUUGGUUUCUCCUUUCUGACGAACCAUGAUGUCAUUAAUUUGGUGUUAUGGGGAGUUAGGACUGUUACUUUGAAAAAAUUAGAGUGUUUAAAGCAGGCAUUAGCUUGAAUACAUUAGCAUGGAAUAAUGAAAUAGGACGUUCGAUCCUAUUUUGUUGGUUUCUAGGAUCAACGUAAUGAUUAAUAGGGAUAGUUGGGGGCAUUAGUAUUCAAUUGUCAGAGGUGAAAUUCUUGGAUUUAUUGAAGACUAACUAAUGCGAAAGCAUUUGCCAAGGAUGUUUUCAUUAAUCAAGAACGAAAGUUAGGGGAUCGAAGACGAUAAGAUACCGUUGUAGUCUUAACCAUAAACUAUGCCGACUAGGGAUCGGACGACGUUAAUUUUUUAAUGACUCG